GGGAGUAGAUAGGUGCUGGUGUGCCUUCCGGACUUCAAAUCCGGCAACGCGCUCUAAUAAAGCGCGUGGUGGGUUCGAUUCCCACAUACUCCCGCCA
rnacentral:tRNA from 1 species